ACAUUAGCUGGAAUGCGGACCUUGAAAAAAAAAAAAGAAAAAACACUCGCUCUCAACCCGGCAGCAGCUCCGGAGGAGCCAUGUGGCAUCAAGCCACCGCAAAGGGGAAAAAAAGUGCUCUUAGCAACACAAACAUGGCGAAAUAGCUCCGACAUGCCCGUUUCACGCAGCAGCCCUACCUUCCUUCGCUCGCCCGCUGAGCAUCCUGGCCAGCAGCCGCAGGCCCCUUGCGGGGGGCGGUAAGGGGGCCUCGGGGAGUGCGAGGGUGGACGUCAAAAGAGUCCCCGGGAAAAUAGCUCGGAUGACGCGCCAACCCAUUUGCCUCACCCGGAGUGCGGGGACGCCUUUUCCACCCCCAAGGUGGGAGUCGAGCACCCAAUCCAGUCCCCAAGUCCUGCUGGACCCGUUUUCCCCACCCUAAAGAACUUACCUUGAGGCUGAACACUGCGCCGCUUUGCUCUCUUUUCUGGUUCCUUCCUCCGGAGCCAGGAGGAAAAUGAUGCGCACGUAGAUUCCGAGAGCGUAUUCUUCUAGAAUUUUCCCAGGAUGGUGGCAGGGAGCGAUGGAGACUCUGAGACAGGUGCGGGGCUGCCGGUUAAAAGUUGCUCUGCGCACGGUGGGUGGCAGGGUCCCCGGAGCGGGCGGAGGACCCCCACUCCCUGCCCCCGGCGUCGCCCACUUGUCACGCCAAGCUGCUGCGUGCGCUCGGCUGCAGAGGAGGUGGUGGCGUAGUUUCUCUUUCUCCCACCUCUUCUCACUCACUUGUUUUGUAGCCGUGGGCUCCCCUAAUGCUUUCCUCUCCACAAUGUUGUUUCAUUAUAUCAUGUCCAUCAUGUGACACCGGAGAGGCCUCUCUAUGGAAACUUAAAGGGGCUCCCACGUGACUGCAGCAGCAACAACAGCAGCAGGACCCGUGGCGGCGGCGCCGGCCGCAGCGUUUGUACCACCACCCACCGGGAGCCCCUCGAAGCAUCCCGAAGGGGCUUGUGGCGCUGCAAAAGCCCAGAUAAGAGAGCCACUGCAUCCGGGAGCUAUGGCGUCGGUGCGUGCGUGGAGCCAGUGCUCAUUACACAGCAAGCGGAACAGGAGCGUCCUUAAAUCCUUUCCUGCAGUCACCAAGCCCACGCUCUGUUAAAAUGACAUUUCGUGGUUCCUACUUUAUUUUCCCCCAAGAGCUGUGAGUUCCCUAUCAGGCCUGAUUAAAUUUUACAAAGUCAAAAAGGAAAGCCAGAUUUGCCCUCUCAGUGAGCUCACUCUCAGAUCUUGGUAAAACAGAAAGAAAUGCCAGAAAAUAACAACCAGAAUCGGGCAUUUGGUCCAUAAUUACCAUCACUACCAGUUUCGGAGCUUUCUGGAAUUACAUUCCUCCGGUAACUGUUGAUGAUGCUCUCAAGAGGCAAAAUGUAACGCAGUUUUUUCUCUUCCGCGGCUACAUUAGGGCUUUGUUGCUGACAACAGUAAAAACUUGUUUGUGUCAGGAAGUGAGGUACGAAGCCAUGACCUGUAAGGUACAGACAAAACCAAAGUGGCAGUUUGGGUACUACUUUUCUGACCACAUUCUUCCAAAUGGUGACAAGAUGACUGCUGUAAAAUGCGUGCUUGGUUGGAAAUAAGAUGAUCAGGAAAACAUGCUUAUCCUUUAAUCAUACUGUACAUGCUACACACUAGAAAUUAUACAUAUAUAUGCAUGUGUGUGGACAGAGCGCAAGCAUACAUUUUCAUGAUAUUCUAAACCACUAAUUCUGUCCCCACUGCUAGCAUUUAACUUAAGUAUUAACGUUUAAAGGCGUAUUCGUGUCUCGUGAUGUACAGGAACUAAUAGUUUGAAGUACUUAGUCUUACUGACUUGAAAUGUAUGUGGGGGGGUCUACUUAGAACGGCAGUUCUCUGUCUCUACCUUUUUAUGUACCAUGGGAAUCGCCUAUAAAUAAAUCUAUGACAAAUUGCUAUUUCUCUGUUGGUUCACUCUCUUCCUUCUUGAUGAGGAAAACUAGACUGGCAGAAUUGUGAAAAAGAAAAAGAAAACACUAACUCAAGUGACUGACGAGUGGGGAUGGGAGAGGUUCUACCUUCCGGCCUGGCCUUGAUUGCUGUCUUUCUAAAUCACUUAUAACUCUUAACACCCAUCCUUUUGGCCUUCCAACCUCAAGACUAAUUCUUUCAUCCUUUUAACCCUCUUUUGCCUGGACCUCCCAGCUCAGACCCUUUGCUUAUGCACCCAGCUCAGGCCUUCCCAAAUACUUUACCCCAGCAGCAGCAGCAGCAGCAGCAGAAGCAGCUGGUUCCCUUCUCAGCAACUCUACCCCCUUACCUCUUUGACCUCCUUUAAUCUCCUCCACAGCCUGGCCCUUGACUUCACAGAUUCGUCUUACCUUUCUUCACCUGAAAGGGCCUGCCCUUUACUGGGGUCUCCUUUACCCCUCCUCUCUGGUCCCAUCCCUUCUGCGGGCAAGCCCCAAAGCAUUCCUCCACGGCUCGGCCUGGUCAGCUUGAACCACAUUUUGUCGGCUUGCCCUGGGCAAAGAAGGAGUUUAUGGUACAAAGUGGGUCCAAGACUACCACUGGGUUAGACCCCUGCCUUGCCCCAUCCGCCCCUGCCAAGCCCUGGUUGCGGCGCUUCCUGGGCGGAUGGUUUGGACUUGCUGCUGCAGCUGCGGUUCUGCUGUGUCAUGCAAGAAGGAGGCGGCGGCGGCGGCCGGAGCUGGAGGGGGAGGAGGGGAGGAACCUGAUCCUCGGUAGCGAAGGGCUGGAGGCAAACACCGAGCUCCCCCUGAGUCGCUUGGGAGCAGGGAGGGUUCUGCUACCCUGAGGGGCCCUCCCCGCGGGGCAGAGGGUGGGAGGAACUCACGGCAUGUACUUCUGAAUGUAUGCUUGCCUUGAGGAACAACGACAGGACACAGGGAUGUGGACAUUUUCAAUCAGAUGGUUCUGUCCGACAGUGUCGGCACACAAAGCCUCCGAUUCUACACAGAAGAAGGAUGGUGGCCAUAGAGACUCCUGUCCUUCCAGCAUGAGGAUCAUAAGGAAAGCGGGCUGAAUUCAGAGCCAGAAUCUGAAGAUAAGCACAAGAGGAGAGCGUUCCACUGACUGACCUCUUUUUGUUUUCAAAUGAAGAGAAGCCAAGAAUAGGACGGCCUAGGAAGGUGAGCUGCGUAAAACUCGUCAGACUGAGCUCAUCCUCGUCUAUGGCCAAAAGUUGGUUUCUCGUUUCUAGAAGAUGAAAGAUGUGAUGAUUUAGGAAAAAGCCAUUCUCUCUGCUUACUGCUUGCUGUUUGAGAUGUGCGUCUUCACACAUUCCUACCGACGUAUCUGACCGAUGCUGCCAAGAUUACCUGAUGGGAUGGAUGCUAAUGCCUCUACAACCAGAAGCCCAAGGUAGCGUGUGAUUAUUCAAUCCAUACAUGCAACGUGCAUAUAUCAAGUCAGCAAGAUUGGCCUUUCUGUCUUAUUGGACAUCUGUCAUGCUUCUGUGUCUGGAGCCUGCAAAGGCCUCUCUUCUAGCUCUUUGUAAAUGUGGAGUAAGUUGUGAAAACCAUAUUCACCAUGUUAUGUUAUCGUUGCUUUCUAACUGGUGUCCAUUAUUCAGUCUCCCUCUGUCCCACAUCUCCUACCUCCAAAGCCUCUUUCUACGACAUGCUAUUAUGUUAUGUUUUCAGGAAGUGAUUAUACGGAGGAGAAUGGGUGCACAGUAGUACUAGGGCCAGUGUGGAGGAUAUUGCAGUACCUAGAAAAGGAAAUGAUGUCGAUCCAAGCUUGCCAAGGGCAGCAGGGAUGCAGAGACGAGGGUCUGAGAGGCACAAAGCCGGUGCUCCAGGUAGGGCCAGAGAUGUUCUGAUGCUCCAGGCUUUGGUGGGCAGGGGUGGGGGGUAAAGGGCAAGGAAGGAAGACCUGUUGGGCAGAGCCGAGGGCAGAAACCCUUCCAUUCCCCUGAGGACCUCCUGGAUGUCACUGGAGCUGGGGACUUUGCUGUGCAAUGCAAAGGAGGUUUCAUGAUGAAGUCAGACCCUGGCAGCUAGAGGGGAUGGGGCUCUUAACACCUGCCAGACUGUUAAGACCGAAUCCGUGUGGAACCUAGGCUGCAAAUGAGAGGUCUUCAGUACCUGCAGCCAAGCAGGGCCUGACAAGCUGUUUCCAUGGAGACACAGAGCUGUGUGCAGGCGUAGGCGGGUUGAUCCAUUCCAGAGCCUUGGGUCACAAGGCUGUAGCGAGCUAACAGGAAGAAGGUAUUAUCGAUCAGGAAAGGAUGUACAAAGCAUUGGCAGCUAAUUGAGGUUGUGUUGUCAUAAUUCUGGAUUAAGUUUAACAAAUCAGGGUCCUGUUGGCCCCCACUUAGCAAGAGCACAAGGAAGCAGACACUAAUUCAGGCUAACUCUGAAUGUGCAGACACCCAGCCCAAGCCACUCUGUACCCUUGAGCUCUUAAGUAGCUACAUAUCUCUUCCAACUGUCGGAGACACAGACAGCAACCGGGGAGCUAAUCUUUUUUUCAUUUGUCAUAGGAAUGGCAGAAAUAUUCAGGAAACCUAAGCCCGACUCUUGAAAAAAAAAUUCAGAUGCUGGCAGAGCCCCAAAAUGGAUAUUGGGAAGCAUUUUGAGAACUACUGUUCACAGAGAGCACAGAGAGAAGCUUCCAGCACUUUGGAGGCAGAGGUUAUUGGGAUAGGAGCUCUAACCUGCCCAGGGGGUCAGACCUUGUCAAUCAAAGUCUCAACACAUCCUUGCUGUGGAUACUAAAUCCCACCCUGUUCUCCAAAAAGUGCAGCCAAGAGGUGGAGGGCUUCAUCCCUGACUAAGCCUCCGCUUAGCACAUCAUUAUUUAUUGUUCUUAAUACCUUGAGGCUACUCGAAGACAGUCUUGAAUCUCAAAGUUGGGCUUUCUCACGUAAGCAACUGCUGAGACCACGGAGGAUCCGAGGACGACACCCACCACCUUUUCCGAGAAAAGCAAAGAAGUCUAAGCCUGUGAAAGUUUGAAGCCCCUGGGUUCACCUCCAACCUUGGAGAAGAAUGAUAACGCCUUUCCUAUCUACCAUGUCCAGAGGGCUGCCAUAACAAAACCCUAUAGUUCGAAUAACAGAAAUUCUUCCUGGUUCUUGAAGUUGCCAGCCCAACACCAAUGAGUCAUGGAGUUGUUUCUGUUUGAGCUUUUUCCUUAGUCCACAUAGCUGCCUUCUUGCUGAAUCCCCACACGGUCUUUCCUAAUUUUUUGUUUGUUUGGGGGUGCUGGGAAUCUUACCCAGGUCCCCUUCACGUGGAAAGAAAGUGCUCUAUCAUCCAGUUCAGCCCUGAAUAGCCUCAUGUUGAAUAAGACCCCACCUCAAAGGCUUCCUUUUAACUGUCUCUUAAAAGCCCUUAUCUCCAAAUAUUUUUGAGGACCUGGGGGUUAGGACCUCAACAUGCAUUGGCUUGAGGUUACAGAAUUCAGCCCUUAAGCACCAUAGUUCUUUUACACAGCCCUGAUACAUGCUCGUAAACAAACACUCACCUCCCAGAAGUCAGUGCCAGCAAGGUUGUAGUCACCGAUGCUGACAGGAAUCUGCACUUUCCCAGCAUCCAACAGAUCAUCCCCUGCACAGGCACCAAUUUCCUGAAAGGCAGAUGCCUCCCUCAGUCCUCAGGGAAAUUCGUGGAAUCACUCUGUGACUGAGGCCCAGGAGGUCAAGGAAGAAUCUGCGGAGGUCCAAGGAAGUCAUCUAAACUGCAUUCUCUUGAGAGGCAGACUAAUGAAAGUCUGGCUUUAUUUGCAUUUCUAUGUAUAUUUUUCUGAUUCUAGACUCCAGUGUUCAUGUUCUAUGUGGUAAGUCAUUACACUGUACUUUCAAUUGCAUCUCAUAAGUACUUUUUUUUUCCUUCCUACCUCUAAAACUUAAAAGCGAAACCCUUUCAGGCCUUUUCCCCACCAAGUUCUAAAACUGGGGAAGGCUAGAGUAGGUUGUAUCGCCUUUCUCAAAAUAUCCCAAGUUUCCUCCUUACUGGAACAUGGUGUCCGUUACCAUGCUGCCUGUAGCCGAUGAAAUGCAGGUUGUGGAUGCAAAGUGCAUCCCUGUGGCGCAGCUUCACGCCACCUUUCCUUUCCCUCUAGACAGCAGCUGCUCCCUCGGUGCAGGCCUCGGAGUGAAGGCAAAGAGGAUCAGCCUCACAGAGGACUUCUGCUGGGCCUGGUGCAAAUGACUUGUCAGCGGCUGGUGUAAGCCACUGAGGUUGUCAGGGUCACUUGUUCCCGGAGCAGGACCACAAUUUCCCUGAUGGUUAUGCCGCUGUAACAUAUCAUUUCUUUCACAAAAGUCAGCGAAAGGUAGCAGUCUGAGACUCUCCCUGACUUUUAAUGAGAGUCGCUGCAGAAGUGCGAGCCUCGGUGCCGACGCUGCCCGGUAGGUUUACACCGCUUGCCAUCUGCAUGCCCUGCUUCCACACACUGCUGUGCUCCUCCACCUGCUUCACAUGCCUGUUUCACUGACCUCAUAACCCAGCUUUUCUAAUCCAACAAGGAGGGUCAAACAUCAAGUGGCUAUUGUAUUUGUACUGAAAGGGCAUUCACUACACUAUUGAACAUAUGGAUAAAAAGUUAUUACGUUAUUAUCAACAGAUAAAAGGUCUGCCCAUUCCCUCUUUUACUUAAGUGGAGUCAUUGUUAUUUGGUAUUUUUUUCCCUCUCUCUUUUUCCUUCUUUCUUCUUCAUUGUUCUCUUUAUAACCCCGAUGAUAAUUACAGUUGUUGGCCCAGGAUGUAACUCAAUGGUAGAGAAUAUUUUUAGGUACAUUAUACCAUACGUUCAAUUUCCAGACCCCAAGUUUCCUAAAAGAAAGGGGAAAAAAGUAAUAACUGUAGCUACUCUUUAUCGACCUUCAUUAAGAGAGGAACCAAAAUCCUAGGAGCCUUGUAUGCAAAGCUUGGCCACCCCUGAAGAAGGGACUCAAUCCUUUGUUUUCCAGUGAAAAGUAGCUCAUUUCAGGUGAUCAUGAUCGUCAUGUGGACCAUCUUAAUUAUAGGUUAGUGGUAGUUGAGGGGAUCAUAGCAAAAUCACUAUUCAUGUUUAUUGAAUGUCUGUAAUGAGCUGUGUUUUUGCACGCACUGUUAUUUAUGGGCUCAGUGUAAUUAUUCUUAUGACAUUUUGUCAUUAAAAAAUGAAGAUUGAGAGAGAUUCAGGGAAGCUUGGUGAUUAGCCACCUUCAUUCAUGCAGCAUACAGUAGGUAUUAUCGAAUGCUUACCGUGUGUCAGGCAGUGUCACUGACAUAAGUGGCAGCUAUAACAACUCAGGUAAUGGCCCCGUUCACACAGAGCUUACAUCCUACUGAGAGAGAAAAACUAAGAGACAAGGUGAUUUCUGGAAGCGGCUAAUGCUCUACAAAAAAUAAAACUUGGCAACUGAUAAUUGUAUAAGUUACUUUUCUAUUGUUGUGAGAGAAAAAAAAAUUCUACCAUGACCAAGGCAUCUUAACAAAAGGAAGAAUUUAAUUGAGCUUAUGGUAUCAGAGGGUGAGUCCGUGAUGGUCCAGCAAAGGCAUGCUGGUAGGUACGGCUAGCUGAGAGCUCACAUCUUAAUCGGUGAGCAGGAGGCGGAGGACACCCUGGGAGUAAGUAGCACUAGUCUUCUGAAACAUCGAAGGCUGCCCCAGUGACACACUUCCUUCAGCUAGGCCACACCUCCUAAUCCUUCCCAAACAGCCAACAACUAAGAACCAAAUGUUCACUGCCACAACAGUGAUAACCAGGAACGGGGACAAUCACAGACAAUGGAUGAGGAAUGAAGGAGACAUAAAUAACAUGCAGCCAACUGUGAUGUUUUGAACAAAAAUGUCCCUAUAGGCUCAGACAUUUGAGUACUUGGUCCCCUAGGUUGGUGGCACUGCUUGGGUAGGUUUAGGAGGCGUGGCCUUUCUGGAAGAAGUGUGUCACUGGGGCAGGGGUGAGGUAGGAUGUUGAGAUUUCAAAGCCACAAGCCAUUCCACUUUGUGCCCUCUGCUUUCUGCUUGCUUUUGGAGAGAGGCCCUCUCAGCUGUCUCCGUGUUUGACACCUGCUGCCAUGACUCCGUGUCAUAGGACUCUUAGCCUUUUGGAACUGCAAGUCCAAGGAAACUGUCUUUUAUAAGUUGGCUUGGCCGUGGAAUUUUAUCACAGCUAUAGAGAAGUAGCUCACACAGUGAGGUACUUAUGAAACAGCAAAUGCCAAGGUCCUAAGGGAAGGACCUUGAUACAUUCAGCAGUGGUGACUUAGAAUGGGAAUCUGAGUUAUCUAGGGUUUAUAUAGUUACUGACAUGCAUUUUACAUACUGUAAAAGCUGCCUAUUUAAAUAUAAGCUUAGUGUUUUAAAAGUAUUGUCACUGAUCGGUACAUUCAUUGCAACACGGUACCACACCCAAGAAUAUUUCUGGUACCCCUGAAGAAGCCUUGGUUUCAUAGAUGUCAUCUCUUACUGCCGAUCCCUACCCUUGGGGAGCAACUAAUCUACUUUCUGCCUCUCUGCAUUUAUACAUUAUGAGUAUGUUACAUGAAUGGACCCUGACAUGUGAUCUUCGGUGGCCGUUUUCUUUCAUUUAGUGUUGCAUUCUUAUGGUUUGCCCAUAUGAAGCACUUAUGAGUCUUUGCAUGGUAAUAACAAUCUAUUUUUCCACUCUUUAACUUGAAAACAUGGGUAGUUUUCACUCUUUGUCCAUUAUACAUAAUGCUGUUGUGAGCAUUUAUGUGCAAGCAUUUGUUUGGAUAAAUAUUUCCAUUUCUCUUGCUAUAUAUAUUUCUAGGAAAGAAUUACCCAGUGGCUGUGUACUUCGGUAUUUUGAGGAACUGCCAUGUAGUUUUCCAAACUCAAUGUUCCAUUCUAUGGGCAUCAUAUGACGACGAUUUCUUUAUAUCGUCACUAACAGUGGGUAUUAUCAUAGGCAUUUUUGUGGGUGAAGAUGGUAUGGGGGUUUUGACUUGUGCUUUCCUAAUUACUAAUGGUGCUGAGCAACUGUCUGUGUGUAUAAGGGCCACUUGCAUCUAUUUUUCUGGUAAAUGUUUAUUCAGAUUUCUUGUUGAUGAUUUAAUUUUUUAUAAUAGAGUUUUGAUAGGUUUCAUGUACUCUGGAUAAAAGGUCCUUGUCAGGUGUCUGAAAAGGCUUAUCUUUUAUUCUGUAACUUGCUUUUUUAUUUUUUACUUUCUUCCUUCUCCUCCUCCUCUUCUUCUUCUUCUUCUUUGAAUUUCAAAGCAACAUUAAAAUAAUUUAAUUAUCCUACUAGGCUAAUGAACUUAUACACAGCAGUCUUAUAUAUAGCAUUAUUGAAGUACUAUGCAUUGAUACAUAGAGGAAUUUUUGUGUUGUAUUAUUUUUUAAUUUACUUUAUAUCUCGAUUGCAUCUUCCCCGCCCUCCCCUGCUCCCAGUCCCUCCCUCUCACCUUCCUACCCCUCAUUCUCCAGUCAGUCCUCCUCCUUUUCUCCUUAGAAAAGGAGAGGCCUCCCACGGCUAUCAACCUGCCCUUUUAUUUCCUUGAUGGUGUCCUUUGAAACACAAAAGCGUGAUGAUGACGACGACUACGACGAUGACCGAUGACUUGAAUGUAUAUGCGUGGGAGUACAUCAUGGUGCACACAUAGAGAUCAGAGGACAAGUUUUGGGACUAAGUUUUCUUAGUCUACUGUGGGUUCUGAAAACUGUGGUGUGGUCAGCUGAGCUGUCUCACUGGCCCAUGAAACAGGAAAGCUUUUACAUUUAAAAUCCAAUUGUUCUUAAUGUUGACACUUUUGCUUAGAUUCCUUCGCACUCCCGCUUCCUCCACAUCCUUGACAUGUGCUCUACCACUGAGCCAUACCUCCAUUCCAGAAGAAUGUUGAGAUUUUUGCCAGGCAUUGUAGGCUAUAAUCUUCCUAAAGAAAUGUUUUAAUUCUUACAUUUAAGUCAGUGAUGGAUUUUUACUUACAGUUUUAUAAUUUAUUUAAUUAGAGUACAAAAUAAUGAGUUUCAAUGUGGCAUCUCCACACACGCAUACUGCACUACACAUAGUAUUUUGAGGGAGGAGUAUGGGGCUGAAGAGAGUCCAACUUUACUCCUUUGCACAUAGACAUUUAGCCGUCCCCGCACCAUUUGUUGAAUAGAAUAUGUCACAAGUCCUGAAAUCCCAGCUAAUUGGGAGGCUGAGGCUGGAGAACUACAAGUUCAAGGCCAGCCCAGGCUACAGAAUGAGUUCAAGGUCAGCACGGAUAAGUUAGUGAGGCCCCAUGUCUAAAUAAAAUGUGAAAACUUAGGGACAAGGAUGUAGCUCAGUGGUAGAAGGUUUAUUCAACACAUACGAGGUUCAACCCCCAGCACCAAAGCCAAACAAACAAACAACAAACAAACAAACAAAUGUACGGAUUCCUCUCCUUGUCUGAAAUUGACCGUAAUGUGUGAGUUUACCCUAUAUCAUCAAUUCUUUGCAGGUCUCCAUAGGAAGAUUACUAUAAGUUUUGAAACCGGGAAAUAAUCAUCUUCCACAUUUGUUCUUUUUCAAGGUGGUGGUGCCUCUUCUGGGCUAUGACUUCCAUAUGACUUUUAUAACCUUCCAGUCAAUUUCUGCAAAAAAAAAAAAAAAAAAAAAAAAAAAAAGUUGAGAUUUUAAUAGGAACUGCAUUGGACGUCGUUGCUGGUUAAAAUAAAAAAAAAAAAACAAUCGAUUUUACACACUCAUUUUGUACCUUAACACACUUCUGAACCUGAUGUGUUCUUAAUUAUGAUUCGUUACUGCUUCCUCCCCGCGGCGUUGUGUUAGACGCUAUAGAAAAAACAAAGAUGUUCUAAGAUGACAUAGGUUUAACUUACUGGGUAAACAGGAGCCAUGUUAGGAGCAAACAAGGAAGUUGGUAACUGCCACUUGAAUGUUACAGACAGUUGGAAUUCUGACAAGACCUUCAGGGCUGGAGAAGUCUGGAGCGGGGAGGGGAAGGAUUAAAGGCUUGCUGUGCCCAUGCGCACCUUCCUUCCUUUCUGCCUUCUUUUUCUCCUCUCGUUUUCUUUCUCUACUUUCACCUGCCGGGGUUUCUUUGAAAACACUGGUAGAGCAUAACCAGAGAUGGCCGCCAGUAACCUGGCUGGUCAUCAGAAUUUCUUGGAAAGCCUUUAAAAUCUAGAUCCCAGUCUCCGGAUGCAGAGCUGCUGUGUCAUGCUCCCAGGUGCUGGGUCACAGAAGGACAACUGCAUUUGCAUUUUGAUCUGAUUUUCUGCCCGAGUUGGGAAUUUCUGGGUAUGGUUAUAAUUAUAUCCACAUGUGGCUCGGCAUCGAUCCUCACCCCACCGUACCUCUGUUCCUUUUCAGGACACUCUCACGUCCAGAAGGUCAUAAGGGCACCUGGAUAAGACAUCGUGAGUGAACCUCUAUGGCUUCUCCAGUAUUGAAAGCCACAUCAGUUGCACACGUUUCUAAGAGGGUCCGCUGGUGCACGUGUUUAUGAAGAUGUCUCACAAUAUAAAGAGAUUUCAGUUCUUUGUGCCACCCACAUCCUUGAGUAUGUCUCCUGAGACACACGUGGGAGUCUGUCUGGGGUAUAAAUGAGGAUGGACGUUGCCCGAAAUGCAUAUGGGCUUUUGACUUCACCCGGUUGCUUUCGGGACUAUUGUGCACAGUAAGUAGCUUAAUCAUUUCCUUUUCUCUCAUCCCUGAUUUAUGAGAAUGUCUCUGGGAACCACACCACCAAGUCUGUAAAGUUAGCAUCAGGCUGGGGAGAUUGCUCAGUGGGCAGGAGCUUCUCAGUAAGGCUAACAACCUGAGUUCGAUGUCCCAGACCCACGUAGUGAGAAGAGAGGACUUCCUCACGUAGUCCUCUGACCUCCACACUUGUGCCAAGCCCACUCCACUAAAUAAAUGCAUGUAAAAUAUUUUAAAUCACUAGGAAAUAAACACCCACCUGGGGCUUUCAUAGAUCCCACUAGGGUAGCUUAAGAGGAAGGUUGGAAACAGGCUUCAGAUGGUUGAGGAGCUGAGAUCCUCUCUGCCCCACAUAUGUGUUUGUACAACCACCUAAGACAUUGACACAUGAGUGUUAGUCAACUGUAUGUCACUGUGACUAUAUGCCUGACAGCAUCAGCUAAGGGAGGAGAGAUUCACGCUGGUUUGUAGUUUCGGGCAAUAUAGCCUGUUCCCCAGGGGAGACCAAGGCAUUGGUGUCGGUUGCGCUUUGGCAGAUUAUUCACCUUCUGGUUGGCCAGGAAGCAGAGAGCUUAAUAGGAAAUGGGACUAGGUUUUAACCUUCAAAACUCCACCCUCAGUGACUCACCUCUGCCAGUUACAUCUCCUGCCAUACAGUUUGACAAUCUUCCAAAGCAGCGCUACCAGCUGGCACCAAAUGUUAGCACAUGAACCAUGAGAGAGAGUUCACACUGAACUGCCUACAGAAACGUCUGUCUUUGAUUAGACAAAUCUAUGUUGGCUGUGCUUGGAUUGGUUAAGAAAAGGUUUGCUCAGCAAACCUUGCA
rnacentral:sRNA from 1 species